UACAGAGGUCUCAAGCGUUGUUCGGAUUCAUUGGGCGUAAAGGGUGUGUAGGUGGCGCCGUAAGUCGGGUGUGAAAUUUCGGAGCUUAACUCCGAAACUGCAUUCGAUACUGCGGUGCUUGAGGACUGGAGAGGAGACUGGAAUUCAUGGUGUAGCAGUGAAAUGCGUAGAGAUCAUGAGGAAGACCAGUGGCGAAGGCGACUUACUGGACGAUUGUUGACGCUGAGGUGCGAAAGCGUGGGGAGCAAACAGG
rnacentral:rRNA from 1 species